AAUCCUCUGCUAGCUGCUUUGAGGCCAUGUCUGCCGAAGUCACUGUCCUCUACAGGGUUUUUUCCUCAUGUUCAGUGUUUAGUCCUUUCCACCUUCACGAAAACGAUGCCUACUUAAUAUACAGAAAGGAGGACAUACAGAAAUUUUUCAUCUUAAUUGGAUAUUACAGUUGCCCCACUUUGGAGCCAAGAAGAGCUGAAUAAAGCUGAGAAACACCUAAACAGAAAGGCAAGUUUACCAUGAAGUAAGAAACGUAAGCUUUGGACCCCUUAAUUGCUUGAGCCUCCAAAAUAGCUGCUGCCCCACUCCUGUGCCAAAAUCUGCUCCAAGGGAUCCUAUCCUAGUCAGAAGGCUGUACUCUGAAUGCUGAUAUUAGCUACAACACCAAGGCUUCCCACUAUACAAACUGGAUCCUCAAAGUCAUCCACACCAAAUGAACUCUCUAUUCUUUCUCCCAGUAGCCUGAGAACUGGGUUUACCAGCCUUGGCCCUUCCUUUCCUUCUAGCCUCAAAACAGGAUGGGAACAGAGUCUUUGGCUGUGAGAAUGGGCUCAAUAACAAAAUAAAGAUGACAGAAGAGUCAGUGACUUCAAUGACAGAGCGAUAGAAAUUACCAAUAUAAACGGAGAGAAAAGAGAUUUUUUAAAAAUGAACAAAUCCCCAAGGACCUGUGAGACAAUAACUGUGUUAGGUUUUCUAAACUUACAAGUGUUUUUAUUUAUAUAUGGUAAGCAACUAUGCAUUAUUUGUGUCAGAAUUAUUUUUUGUAUAUAUUUAAGGUAUACAACAUGAUGUCUCAACAUACUUAUAUGUAGUGAAAUGGUUACUACAGUCACCACACUUAUUGUCUCACAGGUUAUUGUCUUCAGAAGGAGAGUAAAAAGAAUGCUGGGUAGAAGAAAUACCUGAAGAAAUAAUGGCCCAACCUCAAAUUUGGUGAAAGACAUAAACUUACAGAUUCAAGAAACUGAGUGUUCCCCAAACAGAAUAAACUUUAAAGAAUCCACACUCAAACACAUCAUAAUCAAACUUCUGAAAACUAACAACAAAGAAAAACUUAAAAUCAGCAAGAGAGAAACCACACAUUAUCAACUGAUGAAAAGUGACUCAAGUGACAGCAGAUUUAUAAUCAGAAACUUGAAGGACAGAAGGAAGAGGCAAAACAUUUUGAAAGCCCUAAAAGGAAAGAACUGUCAACCCAGAAUUCGACAUCCAGUAAAAAUAUCCGUCAAGAAUGAAUAUGAAGGAAAGCUAAGAAUGAAUAUAUCUUCUAUUUCUUUGCUAAAUUUUUCUACUUUUUCAUUUGAUGUAAGAGUGUUUAUAAGUGCUUAUGGAGCAUUUUUAUGAUAGUUGGUUUACAAUCCUUGUCUGAGAGUAGCUAUGUGAGAUGACGUAUAUAGUAAAUGGUGACUGUAGUAACCAUUUCACUACAUAUAAGUAUGUCAAAACAUGUUGUACACCUUAAAUAUACACAAAAAAUAGCUCUGACACAAAAAAUGCAUAGUUGUUAUUACCAUGUAUAAAUAAAAAUACUUGUAAGUUUAGAAAAUAAAAUCAUUGUCUGAUAAUUAUC
rnacentral:lncRNA from 1 species